rnacentral:misc_RNA from 1 species
GAAAAUAUAGAGCUUAACUGUCAGAUCUUAUUUGCUUUUUAGUUUUACUUAAUAUUUGAAAAACUGGCCUAAUUGCACAACCAGAUAAGGCAUAAGGAUAAGGGUCAAAAGGUUUAAUCAGGAUAAAAACCAGGUUUCAAUUGGGGUCACAAUAAAUAUAUGUUUAUCACAUAUUGAGAAAAUAUAAUAAAAAAAAAGCAUUUUCAGAAUUUAUCUUGUAAUCUUUUUAUUUAUUUUCUGAACAUCUUGUACUCAAUAUAAGAAGCAAUGAGAUCACUAUUAUCAAUGUGGCUUGGUGGUAGUCACUACUAUAUCUAAACUUAAGGAGCUGG